GAUAUGGAAGCCACUAGAAACUGAUUUUGAGGAUAAGUUUGAGCUAGGAUAUCUACAAUUCGCAAGGACAUGGGAUAGAGCUUAAAAUUUGUGACUCCCAAGUUAAGUUAUUGAAUUGGGUCCAACCAGACUUUGAGGGAUGAGAGACCGACAAGGAUUAGUUGAGAUGUGAAUGUCAUGGGAUUGCAUUUCUUGGGGUACAAUCGAAUGAACUAUUGUGUCCAUCAAUGAAACUAAUACUUCACAAUAUAAAGCAAGCAAUAGAGAAAGAAAUUGGCACUCACUGUGUCUGCAAAUAUGAAAAAGUAAAAGAGUCCUCAGCAUCUGAUAAAUUAUAAGAAGAGGAGAAGAAUCCAAUCGGUUUGCUGGUUCAAGUGACUGCAGAAAAAUGUGGGUUCGAGUGCAUUGAAGCAUAUUAUCUCCCUAUUUAAGGGUUUGAGGAGGGGCUAUGCCUAAUUCCAAGCAUUGUAUCAAAAAGAGUAGAGAUUAUAAAAACCUAUAAUGAGAUUAAUGUUAAAAAAAAAAAGUUAAAGUGACUAAUUUGAUCAA